UGCUUAUGAUGUGAGUGAUAGGAGGAGAACCCUUCACAAACGCCGUUUGUCUGUGUGUGUAUAUAUAUAGAUAGAUACAUAGAUCGUCAUCAUCAUUCUCUGCUUUUGCUGGCUUUCUUUCUUUCGUCUUAUAAAGAGGCUGUGACGAUUUUUGGGUUUUAGAGUGCAAAAGGAAGACAUUAAGGAAUAGCUUGAUCGUUGGCGGGGCAGUACGGAGAUUUUAUUUGAGAAAGACCUUUUUUCUUUUUUCAAAUAGAGAGCUCCAUCUUUUGCAGUCAUGAUCUUUUUGUUCCUUUUCUUGUCUGAUUAAAGGUGAAUCUGAGCCUCCAUCCUCUACGAUCUCUGGCCCUUCAUUUUCUUUGAUUUUUGUUUUGUCAUUUUUUUUCUAAAAUAAAAAAUUCGCAAUUGCUUUUGCGUAAAAUAUGUUUACCUUAAGAUUGCUGUGUGAAUGUUUUAAGUACGAGGCUUUGCUCUCAGUGAGGGGCAGUUGGUUUCAGGGUGGUUCACUCGGAACUCUCUGAUAGGUAGCGGAGCCUGUGACUACUGAUUACGUUUCUUAUGUGUCAAACAGCUCUUAUACCAUAUCUCUGCUCUCUUCCUGGUGUGUGUGGGUCGCUAUCUGGCGACUGGCGAGGCUAUGACGAUUCAGCGAGCCUGAAAAGUCAGACAUGAGGAGAAAUACUCAA